GGAUGAACGCUGGCGGCGUGCCUAAUACAUGCAAGUCGAGCGAACGGACGAGAAGCUUGCUUCUCUGAUGUUAGCGGCGGACGGGUGAGUAACACGUGGAUAACCUACCUAUAAGACUGGGAUAACUUCGGGAAACCGGAGCUAAUACCGGAUAAUAUUUUGAACCGCAUGGUUCAAAAGUGAAAGACGGUCUUGCUGUCACUUAUAGAUGGAUCCGCGCUGCAUUAGCUGGUUGGUAAGGUAACGGCUUACCAAGGCAACGAUGCAUAGCCGACCUGAGAGGGUGAUCGGCCACACUGGAACUGAGACACGGUCCAGACUCCUACGGGAGGCAGCAGUAGGGAAUCUUCCGCAAUGGGCGAAAGCCUGACGGAGCAACGCCGCGUGAGUGAUGAAGGUCUUCGGAUCGUAAAACUCUGUUAUUAGGGAAGAACAUAUGUGUAAGUAACUGUGCACAUCUUGACGGUACCUAAUCAGAAAGCCACGGCUAACUACGUG
rnacentral:rRNA from 1 species